rnacentral:rRNA from 1 species
CCUACGUGAGGCAGCAGUGGGGAAUAUUGGACAAUGGGGGGAACCCUGAUCCAGCGACGCCGCGUGAGUGAAGAAGUAUUUCGGUAUGUAAAGCUCUAUCAGCAGGGAAGAAAGAAAUGACGGUACCUGACUAAGAAGCCCCGGCUAACUACGUGCCAGCAGCCGCGGUAAUACGUAGGGGGCAAGCGUUAUCCGGAUUUACUGGGUGUAAAGGGAGCGUAGACGGCGAUGCACGUCUGAAGUGAAAGGCGGGGGCCCAACCCCCGGACUGCUUUGGAAACUGUAUGGCUGGAGUGCAGGAGAGGUAAGUGGAAUUGCUAGUGUAGCGGUGAAAUGCGUAGAUAUUAGGAGGAACACCAGUGGCGAAGGCGGCUUACUGGACUGUAACUGACGUUGAGGCUCGAAAGCGUGGGGAGCAAACAGGAUUAGAUACCCGGGUAGUC